GGCGGAUGCUUACCAUGCAAGUCGCACGGAUGGGGGCACCCCAUUAGUGGCGGACGGGUGAGUAACGCGUAGGUAUCUAUCCUUGGGUGGGGGAUAACUGUGGGAAACUACAGCUAAUACCGCAUGAUCCCUGAGGGGCAAAGGCGCAAGUCGCCUGAGGAGGAGCCUGCGUAGGAUUAGCUAGUUGGUGGGGUAAAGGCCUACCAAGGCUGCGAUCGGUAGCUGGUCUGAGAGGAUGAUCAGCCACACUGGGACUGAGACACGGCCCAGACUCCUACGGGAGGCAGCAGUGGGGAAUAUUGGACAAUGGGCGCAAGCCUGAUCCAGCAAUGCCGCGUGGGUGAAGAAGGUCUUCGGAUUGUAAAGCCCUUUCGGCGGGGACGAUGAUGACGGUACCCGCAGAAGAAGCCCCGGCUAACUUCGUGCCAGCAGCCGCGGUAAU
rnacentral:rRNA from 1 species